AAGAGAAAUUUGUUGAAUUUAAAGGAACAAAACAAUUAAAGGUGGUGAGCCCUCUGAUAAGGGUAAACCUAUUAUACCCGAGGACCAAGAAUAGGAGUACUCCAAACUCCCGCUAUUUGGGCGGGUUUCUGUGGACCAGCCUAUUAGAGGGGCACG